rnacentral:rRNA from 1 species
GAUGAACGCUGGCGGCGUGCCUAACACAUGCAAGUCGAGCGAUUCUCUUCGGAGAAGAGCGGCGGACGGGUGAGUAACGCGUGGGUAACCUGCCCUGUACACACGGAUAACAUACCGAAAGGUAUGCUAAUACGAGAUAAUAUGCUUUUAUCGCAUGGUAGAAGUAUCAAAGCUUUUGCGGUACAGGAUGGACCCGCGUCUGAUUAGCUAGUUGGUAAGGUAACGGCUUACCAAGGCGACGAUCAGUAGCCGACCUGAGAGGGUGAUCGGCCACAUUGGAACUGAGACACGGUCCAAACUCCUACGGGAGGCAGCAGUGGGGAAUAUUGCACAAUGGGCGAAAGCCUGAUGCAGCAACGCCGCGUGAGCGAUGAAGGCCUUCGGGUCGUAAAGCUCUGUCCUCAAGGAAGAUAAUGACGGUACUUGAGGAGG